AAAAAUUUAGUUAAAUCAUAACAUUAACUUGUCAAGUUAAAAUUAUUAAAUAUCAUAAUAAUUUUUA
rnacentral:tRNA from 1 species